ACGGAAGUUCGUCUGCAAAGUAUCAGAAAACAGAAAUUCAUAACAUAAAGUUUGGGGUUGUGGCUGGCUGGCUUGGCUGGCUGCAAGCGUAAUAUGUCUAAAUGUUUCAGCCAUUACAUUGUUAUAGAUUAAAGUGGACAGAUUUGGAGCUCCGUGUCAUUUGGGUAUCCAGCAAAGAAUAUCCAGUUGCGUUUCAAAUUAGAUCCACUCACCAUUUGACAUUUGAACCCAUCCACUGCCUUCUUCAGUUAAUCUGCUGGACAGCGAUCGGUUCCGACAAUCGACGUAGAUUCCUUCGUGCGUGUCUUAUUUAUGGCCAAGUGUUGCCUCGCAUUGGACUGCGAUGAACCGAAACUUUGACGCUUUAUCGUUUCCGGAAAAGGUCAGCGGAUAUCCCACCGGGAGAUUGAUUCUUUUUAUCAGAGUGGUCCUAGUUUGCCCCCGUCAAAUCCAGUUGAACAAAUCCAGUCGCAGCCGGGAUUUCUUGUAGUUAUUCCAUGGAAAUUGGUCAGGAAAUAAAACCAGGGAGAUAAGAGCGAGCCGUAAAAGACGUGAGUAAAAAGAAAGACUUAACGUGAGUAAAACAGCCGAAAGAUUCGGUUUCACAAUUGUCAACGACCAAUCGAGGCGGCAUUUUGGUUAAAAGAUUAACAAAUCUAGAGCAAUAUAAUACUUUACGUUGCACGUUAUUUCCACGGUGGUUAAGAUUAAAUAGCCCCUUGACUGCAUGUAAAUAAUCCAAUCCUAGCGCAGGCAGGUAGGUCUAUAAAAUAAGAAUUUGAUUUGUAGAGUCACCGCAUAAGUAGCAGCAGCAGCGUCCUGGACCAACAACACUUCUUCUCGGUUGUUUGAAGAGUGCCGAGUGGCCAACAGCAAUUCGCUUCUGUCAGCAGCAUCGGAUGAUGGCGGAAGCAGCCGGAUCGCCGGAGGAGACUUGGCGUCACCAAACGAAUUCCCAUGGCAAUGGUAGUGGGAAUGAAAGUGUUUUUUUCGUAGAUUGAAAAAAAGGAACAGCUUAUCACUGGUGUCUGUUUGUCAUUCUAAUGGCCGCCUUAUCAGCUGUUGGCCUGGUGCCCUGGAUGCUCGCCACUUCACGCCCACGCACUGACUGAUGCCGAGUAACGAGUACAUCAUGGUCGCAUCUAUCAAAUAAUUUUACAAGUGCGUGAGAGUGGUGAGACCCAACUGACUAGGGGUUUGAUCACAUCUAUAAUCGAGAAAAUUGUUAGAAGCUUCACAAAAUAACCGGGCAUGACUGAUCGACUGAACCGGCAUUAAAAUUUUAAGCAUCGAUUACAAUGUGGCAUAAGUCCACUUGUGAUGAAAUUUUCUUAAUGAUAUAUUUUUUUAAAUUCUUUCGUAAUUUUCCCUUUCGAAUAUCGAAUGUUGUAUAUCAAAAUGAUUGUUUAAUUUCAUUUAUAGAAAGAUGUGUAGUAUUUGAAGAAAAAUUUGACAAAGA